AGAGUUUGAUCAUGGCUCAGGACUAACGCUGGCGGCGUGCCUAACACAUGCAAGUCGAACGGGGUAGCAAUACCCAGUGGCAGACGGGUGAGUAACACGUGGUCAACCUACCUCUGUGUGGGGGAUAACUAGCCGAAAGGUUAGCUAAUACCGCAUGCGAUCGUUUUGGGGCAUCCCGAGACGAUGAAAGGAGUAAUCCG
rnacentral:rRNA from 1 species